rnacentral:rRNA from 1 species
GGAAGUAAAAGUCGUAACAAGGUCUCCGUUGGUGAACCAGCGGAGGGAUCAUUACUGAGUUUACGCUCUACAACCCUUUGUGAACAUACCUAUAACUGUUGCUUCGGCGGGUAGGGUCUCCGCGACCCUCCCGGCCUCCCGCCUCCGGGCGGGUCGGCGCCCGCCGGAGGAUAACCAAACUCUGAUUUAACGACGUUCCUUCUGAGUGGUACAAGCAAAUAAUCAAAACUUUUAACAACGGAUCUCUUGGUUCUGGCAUCGAUGAAGAACGCAGCGAAAUGCGAUAAGUAAUGUGAAUUGCAGAAUUCAGUGAAUCAUCGAAUCUUUGAACGCACAUUGCGCCCGCCAGCAUUCUGGCGGGCAUGCCUGUUCGAGCGUCAUUUCAACCCUCAAGCUCUGCUUGGUGUUGGGGCCCUACAGCCGAUGUAGGCCCUCAAAGGUAGUGGCGGACCCUCCCGGAGCCUCCUUUGCGUAGUAACUUUACGUCUCGCACUGGGAUCCGGAGGGACUCUUGCCGUAAAACCCCCCAAUUUUCCAAAGGUUGACCUCGGAUCAGGUAGGAAUACCCGCUGAACUUAAGCAUAUCAAUAAGCGGAGGA